GGGGGGAUGGAAGAAUUGAUGUAUUUUUCUAUAUGUGAGUUUUUUUCUCUCUCUCUCUCUCUCUUCCACUUCAUGUUUUCCUAGGCCGAAAUGCACUUCAACAUUCUCCUUUUUCAAAGCUCCCCCCCCCUUCCUUCCCAGCAUCCCCAUUUCUCCUUAUAAACAUUCAGUCAAAAUCCUGGUUUACUUUUAUAGUGAAGGCACUCUUUCACUCUCCACAGUUCCCCAACAAUCUCCUUUCUUCCUUUCGGGUCCUUCUCCCUCCCUUUCCCUGAGUGCAUGCGUGUGAAUGUUUUAAAAAAAUCCCUCUAACUGCCUUUAAUUAUGAGGAGGGCAUUAGAGUCCAGGGGACCUUCCAGGCACAGCUGAAGAGAUCCAGAGGACCGGACCCAACCACCUGACUGAGGACAUCAGACCAGACUGCAAGACCCAUAAUCCAUACCUGCCACCAUGAACAGUUCUAAGACCUGGGUAGGGGCUCUCGGAGUGCGCUGUGGAUUUCAUGCAGCAGCUAGAACCCAGAGGCCAUUGGAGAUGGUCCUGUGAGGGCUUUUAUGGCCAGACCACCGUAUGGUGCCCUCCAGCUGGCCUGGUUCUGCCCUGGCAAAGGGCUACUGAGUGCAGGUCUGCCUUUGACGCUGCCAAGGAGGCCCUCAUGACAUCACCAGGGGACAGAAUUGGCCGCCAUGGCAGAAGAUGUCCCAGAAGAAAUGAACAGGAUUCUACCAGUGACCACCAUGAGGGAAGGAUGUUCCACUUUCACCAGAGCUGUGCCAAAGAAGGACCCCAGGACUGCUGGAGCCCUCACAAGGUAUGAGUGACUUCCCUGACUAACCCCACCACGGGAGGGAGGGGGGGCUUAUAAUCUGUCCUUAGUUUCCCUAGGCACUCUCUCCUUUCCGUCUCCUCUGUUGGAGUGCUGGACCUGCCUGCAGUCACCAGGAGGCGCCGUGCUGUGAGGCGCAGAAGCUGUGCCCAGUUGCCCCCAGCUGCCAACUACAAAGGGGGGCCCAAGCUGCAGCCAAGAAAAGGCAGCCAAAUGGGAGUACUGCAUCACAGCCUCCAUCAUCCCCAGCCCUCACCACCUCCACCUUCAUGCUCCAUUUCCCAUGACUCCAGACCAAGGGACAUCUGUUUCAACACCAUGGGAUCACCCACCACUGACUGAACCUCAGCUUUCACCUCUUCAAGCUCCUGCCCUCCAACAAAAAGGCACAAUCUGAUCUACCAAGGCAGAGGCCCUGCAUGCAGUGAAAUGUCGGGGCUUUGGGAAAUGUUCAUAGCCAUUUCCAAGCCCCGAAGGGGGGAAAAUGUGAUCGAGGUGACCUCCCCUCCAGGACUUUGUAAAAGAUAGUUCAAAAAUCAAGACUUUAUGUUCUAUAUUCCAUAUAUUUAUAGUAGAAGGUGAUUGGGACUUUUUACUGGAGUUUACUGUGGAUUAUCCCUGCACUCUGAGGCAAGAGAUAACAACUUCAUGGAUUGUGAAAUCAUGUUGCUUGAACCCCACUUCUAUGUUGAAUUCCCCAGAUGUUGUGAACUUCGUUCUGAUCAAAUGUUUCCUAUUACUUAUAUCGAUUGUUUAUAUCAUUCAUGAUUCCCCUUUAUGCAAUGUCACCCACCUUUAUGGAUUCUCCUUUAUUUUCUUGAAAUGUACCUAUCUGCCUAUAUGUAUUUAUACUCUUUGGGAUCCCCGGAAAAUAUGUGUUUUUCCUAGCUGGGUUUAUAUUCCAACUUUAUUUUUAAUUUUCAUUUUAUCCUAUAUAAUUGGCAGAUCAUGAAAUCAAAUGGGAAAUAUUAUGACCCCAACCUGAACUCUAGCCCCAUGACUCAGACCUCCCUUCCCAAAAACAAAAGGAUAAUCUGCCACAGUUUAAUCCCCUCUCAUUCCGACCGCAUGGACAAUAUAGGGCGAGUCACCAAACUCCUAAAGGUGACUCGCCCCCAAGGCAAACAUUGUCACAUCUCAGGCCAGGACGCCGCAGGAAGGCACCCUGUGGGGCCGUCAAUGAUGGCUCAUCACCACCCACUUCCCGUCUGACACCCCAAAGACAUAUCUAAAAUCUGUGAACGUGACAGGACCCCGGACAUCCUUGAUGGGUGUCAUUAAUUCCUUUAGAAAUCGGCUGGGCCAGAAUUAAUCAGAUAUUUCCUGUCCGGUCACCUCUUUGUCUCAAUAGCUCCCGCCUCCUCCUCUCUGAUUGGCCCGAAUAGGGACAAUAAGCGGCUCCCCAUUGGGCCAGCAGAGCAAGGCGGGAAACGAAAGCCCGCCUCGUUCAACCUCUCAGCCUAUCCGCGAUCAGAUGGGCAGGGAAGCGGGGCGGGAAAUUCAAAGGGCUGUCAGACCAAAACAUUGUAUAAAUAUGGCUUUAUUUGAAACAUAUGUUACGCUAGUAGAUUGAAUGAUCACUAUUAGCGUCCUUUUCAGCUGAAUUGCUCAAUAAAACUCCUUGGCGGAUUUUCCUUCAA